rnacentral:rRNA from 1 species
CCUACGGGAGACAGCAGUGAGGAAUAUUGGUCAAUGGGCGCGAGCCUGAACCAGCCAAGUAGCGUGAAGGAUGACUGCCCUACGGGUUGUAAACUUCUUUUAUAAAGGAAUAAAGUGAGGCACGUGUGCCUUUUUGUAUGUACUUUAUGAAUAAGGAUCGGCUAACUCCGUGCCAUCAGCCGCGGUAAUACGGAGGAUCCGAGCGUUAUCCGGAUUUAUUGGGUUUAAAGGGAGCGUAGAUGGGUUGUUAAGUCAGUUGUGAAAGUUUGCGGCUCAACCGUAAAAUUGCAAUUGAUACUGGCAGUCUUGAGUACAGUUGAGGUAGGCGGAAUUCGUGGUGUAGCGGUGAAAUGCUUAGAUAUCACGAAGAACUCCGAUUGCGAAGGCAGCUUACUAAACUGCCACUGACAUUGAUGCUCGAAAGUGUGGGUAUCAAACAGGAUUAGAUACCCCAGUAGUC